rnacentral:misc_RNA from 1 species
UUAAUCUUUAAGACUUAUAUAAUAAAGGUAUAUAGUAGAAACUUACAAAUAUAUCAACAAUUAUCAGAUUAGGGGAUAUUUACUAAAAAGGAUCAUCGAUCGCUAGGUUUUGUUAGCAACAGGUAUUGACUAAACAAUUGACAGAGGAAUACCAAAUGGUAAAUCAAUUAAGUAUUCAUUCUAAUAUCGAUGCUGCUCAGUUGCGAUAGCCUGUCGUCCUACUAAUUUUCCUGCACGAAAGCUUAUAUUUUUUCAAUUUUCAACAAAAUUGCUUUACUAUUAUUAUGCUAUAAACCAUAUGAAAUUUAGGGAAAUAAGUAGAGAAAAGAAGAAAAGAAAGGAAGAAAGAGAGAGAGGGAGAGAAAAAAGAAAACUUUUCCGGAUAGCGGAAUAAUUCUAUGCCCAAAUGGAAGCUUAUAGACUAAGGAGACCAAGAAAAACUGGAUUACCUCAUCUUGGUCAAAAUUUGACGACUUCAAGAGAAAAUACACAAUUGUCAAUAAAGAACGAAAAAGCGACAAAAAACGUUCCUUUCAGAUUACCAAGCACUUCGAAAGUUGAACAAAAUCUAGUAUGGUCAAGACACGGUUUUAUAUCAUCAGAAGAAAGCGACAAAGAAUUAAAAGUUGUUAUAAAGAGAAUGAAAACAAAACCGACCGAUUUUGUAAAAUUGGCUAGAAUACGCGCAGCACAGUCUGCAAAUUUUAAAAAUGCUGUAAUUACUCCAAUACCACCGCAAUCCCAAAUGGAAGAUAGUUUAAUUAGAAAUUGUAACACUCCGAGGGUACCAUCACCAGCUAAAUCCGCUCAGAGUAUUCACUGGACUUUACCUGCUCAGAAACAAAUAUUAUUUGAUAGAAAGGGCAAAACGAGAAGUCAAGGACCUUAUUCUAGAGAAUUCUCAAUGACUUGUUCCCCACCUUCAAUAUGGAUGAAAAUGAAAUGGACACCGAGAUCAAAAACAGUCAUUUAUUGAUUGAAUAGGUUGUAAAUAAUGGAAAAAGAUUCGAAUAUUUAUAUAAUCUCACUCGCAGGUUGUAAAGCAAUUGAUUUAUUAUGAAAAUCGUGGAUCUCAUAUUUAGAAGGACUAGACAUUUUAAAUACAAAAAUAUUCAAAAAGUUAGGAAUGUACUAAACUGAUUUUGUAAGCGUGUUUAUGCACACGUAUUUAAAUAUAUUGAUAUUAAUGGUUAUCGUUGUCUUCCCCUAUUCAAUCUGUAAUCUUUCCUUUCCCAUUCGUCGUCGUACAAUAAAAACAAAAAGAAAGAAAGAAAGAAAGAGAGAGAGUGAGUGAGUGAGGGAGG